UGAUCAUGGCUCAGGACGAACGCUGGCGGCGCGCCUAACACAUGCAAGUCGAACGAGCGAGAGAGAGCUUGCUUUCUCGAGCGAGUGGCGAACGGGUGAGUAACGCGUGAGGAACCUGCCUCAAAGAGGGGGACAACAGUUGGAAACGACUGCUAAUACCGCAUAAGCCCACGGCUCGGCAUCGAGCAGAGGGAAAAGGAGUAAUCCGCUUUGAGAUGGCCUCGCGUCCGAUUAGCUAGUUGGUGAGGUAACGGCCCACCAAGGCGACGAUCGGUAGCCGGACUGAGAGGUUGAACGGCCACAUUGGGACUGAGACACGGCCCAGACUCCUACGGGAGGCAGCAGUGGGGAAUAUUGCACAAUGGGGGAAACCCUGAUGCAGCGACGCCGCGUGGAGGAAGAAGGUCUUCGGAUUGUAAACUCCUGUUGUUGGGGAAGAUAAUGACGGUACCCAACAAGGAAGUGACGGCUAACUACGUGCCAGCAGCCGCGGUAAAACGUAGGUCACAAGCGUUGUCCGGAAUUACUGGGUGUAAAGGGAGCGCAGGCGGGAAGACAAGUUGGAAGUGAAAUCUAUGGGCUCAACCCAUAAACUGCUUUCAAAACUGUUUUUCUUGAGUAGUGCAGAGGUAGGCGGAAUUCCCGGUGUAGCGGUGGAAUGCGUAGAUAUCGGGAGGAACACCAGUGGCGAAGGCGGCCUACUGGGCACCAACUGACGCUGAGGCUCGAAAGUGUGGGUAGCAAACAGGAUUAGAUACCCUGGUAGUCCACACCGUAAACGAUGAUUACUAGGUGUUGGAGGAUUGACCCCUUCAGUGCCGCAGUUAACACAAUAAGUAAUCCACCUGGGGAGUACGACCGCAAGGUUGAAACUCAAAGGAAUUGACGGGGGCCCGCACAAGCAGUGGAGUAUGUGGUUUAAUUCGACGCAACGCGAAGAACCUUACCAAGUCUUGACAUCCCUUGACGAUGCUGGAAACAGUAUUUCUCUUCGGAGCAAGGAGACAGGUGGUGCAUGGUUGUCGUCAGCUCGUGUCGUGAGAUGUUGGGUUAAGUCCCGCAACGAGCGCAACCCUUAUGGUCAGUUACUACGCAAGAGGACUCUGGCCAGACUGCCGUUGACAAAACGGAGGAAGGUGGGGAUGACGUCAAAUCAUCAUGCCCUUUAUGACUUGGGCUACACACGUACUACAAUGGCGUUAAACAAAGAGAAGCAAGACCGCGAGGUGGAGCAAAACUCAGAAACAACGUCCCAGUUCGGACUGCAGGCUGCAACUCGCCUGCACGAAGUCGGAAUUGCUAGUAAUCGUGGAUCAGCAUGCCACGGUGAAUACGUUCCCGGGCCUUGUACACACCGCCCGUCACACCAUGAGAGCCGGGGGGACCCGAAGUCGGUAGUCUAACC
rnacentral:rRNA from 1 species